rnacentral:lncRNA from 1 species
GGUUGGGCAAAGAGCAACACAAAAUUGUACAUACAAAAUAUGAUAAUACAAGUUGACAGAGAAUGGCCUGUUCCUGACCCCUGGACCGAAUCGAAACGAACCGAAUACUGGACUGAACCUUCCUGGCAGCCAUCAGCCAUCAGCCAUCGCCUGGCUGGCCUGCCCUGCGCCAUUGAGAGUUUUCCAAUCAAACUUGUAUUUUCGACCAACGUUAUUGAAAGCAGCUUAAUGCGGCAGUAAGCUGUCCAUUAUGCCACAACAUGUACAUGCUACUUGGCCACGCUACAGG